rnacentral:lncRNA from 1 species
CGUUGGGUUCUUAUUUAUGUAUACUCACAUGCCGUUUAUCAAUAUGCAUGUAUCUGUAUAAGUGUAAGUGCCGCAAUUUAUUAUUUCAUUAUUCAUUGAUAUUGGACAUCGAUUAGAGAAGACUGCAAUAAUUUAAAUCGGACGGCGUUUUGGCAAUAAAUGACAGCAUAUUGGAAGGCGAUUAGAGGAUCAAACGUCAAUUUUAGAAAGUGACGUCAGAUUUGGACGUCGAUUAGAGACCGGUCGUCGAUCUGAGUCUAACAUAUAUACGGCUUAUCUAUUAGGACGGCAGCCUUUUAAAUUGUAUACCUGCUUGCAUGCUUGUACUAAAGCUGUGUAAAUGAGGGUCUGGAGGGGGGUCUGUCAUUCUGUAAACAUUUAAUUUUCACUCCUUUUUACUCUAAUCUUUAAAAAAUUAACUCCUUUUUCCUCUAAUUUUCAAAAAAUUAGACCACGCAUUUCUCUAAUCUUCAUUUUUUUGCCCUUUAUUCUCUUCAUUUUUUAAUGGCAUUAUUCUUUAAUCAUUUAACCCCAUCCAAACAGUCUUCACGACUAACUUUUAAAUCUACAGGCCCAGAGCUCAAUUUUUGAAAUUUUUUAGUUAGAUUCUGUUGGCCUGUAGAUAUGAUUUUUACAGGCCCGAGAGCAAUUUUACUAGUCUGGGCUGCCUGGGCUGCCACUCAGCGUGAAGACUGUCCAAACCCUCGUAUAUCGUCAGUUUUUUUUUUUGGAAAUGACAGGUUGUUGGAUUUGGCAUUAUGAUACGAUAUAAAAUAACACGCAGAAUACAGACUCUGGCUUACAUGUCGUACAUGCACAAUUUCAAACUGGAAUUUUUGCGCGGAGUGUUUAACUUAUAUAGAGGGUACAUAUGUUAGCGUAAUUUCAUUCCGUGUAUUUAUUCCGGGUAUCUGUUUUUCACUAGAGAAUAUUGGAAGUAAAAAGUGUCACGAGCGUCGAUCUUGGUAUCGUUUUGUUUAUAUUGACCUGUUUAUUGUUUACAUAUACAUUUAUGGGUUGAAAUUAGAAUAUUUUAAUAAUAUUAAUAAUAAUUAGAAUAAUUUUC